AGUGAACGCUGGCGGCAGGCCUAACACAUGCAAGUCGAACGGCAGCACAGUAAGAGUUUGCUUUUACCGGUGGCGUGUGGCGGGCGAGUGAGGCAUACAUCGGAUUCCACUAUUUCUUGGGGGAUAUCGUAGGGACACUUACGAUAAUAGCGCAUAUGUCCUACCGCUUAAAGCAGGAGAUCUUCGCAUCUUGCCCGUUUCUUUUAGCUGAUGUCGAAUUAGCUAGUCGGCGAGGUAAGGUCCCACCAAGGCGACGAUCCGUAGCUGGUCUGAGAGGAUGAUCAGCCACACUGGAACUGAGACACGGUCCAGACUCCUACGGGAGGCAGCAGUGGGGAAUAUUGGGCAAUGGGCGAAAGCCUGAUGCAGCAAUGCCGCGUGGGUGAAGAAGGCCUUCGGGUUGUAAAGCCCUUUUAUUGGGGAAGAAAAGAAGCAGGAGAAAACACGGAUGUUCUGACGGUACCCAAAGAAUAAGCAACGGCUAACUACGUG
rnacentral:rRNA from 1 species